GCAAACUUGGUCAUUUAGAGGAAGUAAAAGUCGUAACAAGGUUUCCGUAGGUGAACCUGCGGAAGGAUCAUUACCGAGUUAGGGUUCUCUCGAGCCCGACCUCCCAACCCCGUGUCUACCAUACCACAUGUUGCUUCGGCGGGCCCGUCCUCACCGGACCGCUGGAGGACCUAAUACGGUCCUCUGGCCCGUGCUCGCCGAUGGCCCUAAACCUUUAAACUCUUGAACCAAACAUGUCAUUAUCUGAGUCUUACUAUUGAAAAAUACAAGCAAAAACUUUCAACAACGGAUCUCUUGGUUCUGGCAUCGAUGAAGAACGCAGC
rnacentral:misc_RNA from 1 species